UUCCCGAUGGAUACCGCAUUCGCUCUGUG
rnacentral:sRNA from 1 species